ACUGCGAGGUCAGUCCUAACCCUACUUUUGAACAGAAAAUGUGACGCCGCAGUCCUAAGGACUAUUGCGAACCUAGUGGAAAAGAUAAAAUCAUAAUAAAGAGUUGAUAAGUUGGUCAAAUAAUUAGGUCAGGAUUCUGGAAAAAAUAUCGAAUUAUUUGCAAACUGGAUCAAACCGGUGAAUGACAAUUUAGUCAAUUCAC
rnacentral:misc_RNA from 1 species